AUUUGGUGAAUACAAAGAGUUUGCAUGCAGAGGCUUUAAGAAAACAGUUUCUAAAUCAGGUAUUUUGAAUAUGGAAAUGAGAUGAGCAGUAAAUGGGGACUUUAUGCUUCAUUCACUGUAGGCUUUGGAGAGGAUUAGCAUUUCAUGUUUUGAUAAAAAGUUACUAUAUGGGUAGAUUAUAGUGUGUAUAUAUAUAUAUAUACACACAUAUAUAUAUUUAAUUUUUUUUUGUCUUUUUUUAGGGCUGCACUGCAGCAUAUGGAAGUUCUCAGGCUAGGGGUCAACUCAGAGCUACAGCUGCCAGCCUAUGCCACAGCCACAGCAACGCCAGAUCCGAGCCCUGUCUGUGACCUACACCACAGCUCACGGCAAUGCCGGAUCCUUACCCACUGAACGAGGCCAGGGAUCGAACCCGCAACCUCAUGGUUACUAGUCGGAUUCAUUUCCACUGUGCCAUGAGGGGAACUCGAAGGCUGCUUUUUACGCCCUCUCAUUUUUGAGUACUAUAUCCAACAAUGUAGAAAACCCUGAGUAGCAAUCUGAAUUAUGUCAGUUUUGGUCUUAGGUAUAUACUUGUCAAUCAAGCUUUAUAUUUUGCUAAUCCUUUUUUAUUUCCUGUACUUUUAAAUGUUAACAUGAGCAAAUGUCAACAUAUUAGGAAAAGAACCAUCAUAAUCUUGUAAUGCUUCAUUGUGGAUUACAUGUACUUUGGCUGAAAUCUUUUAUUCGUUUAACUGGAUUCUUUCCUUAGAUCACUUUAGACUAUUCAAGUUCCAGAAUGUUACCAACAAGUACUAUUUCUAUUCACUUUUCAGAAUCUUUCAUUAUAAUUCUUAAAAUCAAUUAAUGAUCAAUAUCGGAGUUCCCGUCGUGGCGCAGUGGUUAACGAAUCCGACUAGGAACCAUGAGGUUGCGGGUUCGAUCCCUGCCCUUGCUCAGUGGGUUAACGAUCCGGCGUUGCCGUGAGCUGUGGUGUAGGUUGCAGACGCAGCUCGGAUCCCGUGUUGCUGUGGCUCUGGCGUAGGCUGGUGGCUACAACUCCUAUUCAACCCCUGGCCUGGGAACCUCCAUAUGCCG
rnacentral:lncRNA from 1 species